rnacentral:tRNA from 1 species
GGGCUCGGUCCAGCUGCGCGAGUACCCUGACCUGCUAGGACCUGGCUGGCUACCCGUGUCCAGGCGGACUUUUAAUCCGCGGGUCGCGGGUUCGAUCCCCGCCGGGCCCA